rnacentral:misc_RNA from 1 species
GUACCCAGAUAGAAUGAUGCUUACAUUCUCAGUGUUUCCAUCUCCAAAGGUCUCAGACACUGUUGUCGAGCCUUACAAUGCUACACUUUCUGUUCAUCAGCUGGUAGAAAAUGCUGAUGAGUGUAUGGUACUUGAUAAUGAAGCACUCUAUGAUAUUUGCUUCAGGACUCUCAAGCUCUCUACCCCAAGCUGUAAGUAGUAUUCCAAGUUUGAUCCUUGUUCUUUAAUCUCUGAGUCAUACACUACUAAUUAGCUUCUGUGAAAUAUUGCAUUGUUUUCAUGUAAAUUGCUUAUAGACCAAAAAUGCCCUCCAUUCGAACUCCAGACCUCACAGGUCUGAAGACGACUCCGGUGCUAAGCUCAUCUAUAGCAAUACCAAGUUAUUAACAUCGUAUGAGCUAGAACAUACUUGUAUAGUUGAGAUAUAGGAAUUUAAUUUUGUUGCUAAAUGUUUCUGUUGAAAAUUUCAUUUGCUUCCCAGUUG